AUUGAACGCUGGCGGCAGGCCUAACACAUGCAAGUCGAGCGAGCGGCGGACGGGUGAGUAAUGUAUGGGGACUGCCCGAUAGAGGGGGAUAACUACUGGAAACGGUAGCUAAUACCGCAUACUAUCGGAUAACCCAUAUGGGAUUAGCUAGUAGGUGGGGUAAUGGCUCACCUAGGCGACGAUCCAUAGCUGGUCUGAGCGGUUGAUCAGCAACACUGGGACUUGGACACGGCCCAGACUCCUACGGAGGCAGCAUGGGGGAAUAUUGCACAAUGGGCGCAAGCCUGAUGCAGCCAUGCCGCGUGUAUGGAGAAGGCCCUGGGGUUGGAAAGUACUUUCAGUCGGGAGGCGUUACCGACAGAAGAAGCACCGGCUAACUCCGUGCCAGCAGCCGCGGUAAUAC
rnacentral:rRNA from 1 species